ACUAACUAUAGGUUUAUGCA
rnacentral:miRNA from 1 species